GAUGAACGCUGGCGGCGUGCCUAAUACAUGCAAGUCGAGCGAAUGGAUUAAGAGCUUGCUCUUAUGAAGUUAGCGGCGGACGGGUGAGUAACACGUGGGUAACCUGCCCAUAAGACUAGGAUAACUCCGGGAAACCGGGGCUAACACCGGAUAAUACUUUGAACUGCGUGGGUCACACUUGAAAGGCGGCUUCGGCUGUCACUUAUGGAUGGACCGGCGUCGCAUUAGCUAGUUGGUGAGGUAACGGCUCACCAAGGCAACGAUGCGUAGCCGACCUGAGAGGGUGAUCGGCCACACUGGGACUGAGACACGGCCCAGACUCCUACGGGAGGCAGCAGUAGGGAAUCUUCCGCAAUGGACGAAAGUCUGACGGAGCAACGCCGCGUGAGUGAUGAAGGCUUUCGGGUCGUAAAACUCUGUUGUUAGGGAAGAACAAGUGCUAGUUGAAUAAGCUGGCACCUUGACGGUACCUAACCAGAAAGCCACGGCUAACUACGUGCCAGCAGCCGCAGUAA
rnacentral:rRNA from 1 species